UACGGAGGGUGCAAGCGUUUUCCGGCUUUACUGGGUUUAAAGGGUGCGUAGGCGGCCUUCUAAGUCAGGGGUGAAAUCCCGGGGCUCAACCCCGGAACUGCCUUUGAUACUGGGAGGCUUGAGUUCGGUAGAGGCGGGCGGAACUGGUGGUGUAGCGGUGAAAUGCAUAGAUGCCACCAAGAACCCCGAUUGCGAAGGCAGCUCGCUGUGCCGAAACUGACGCUGAGGCACGAAAGCGUGGGGAGCGAACAGG
rnacentral:misc_RNA from 1 species